CAAUUGCUCAACUCCAUGCAUGCGAUUUUUGAAAAGGAAUGAUGUCCCACCCAUUCUGGAAAUUGUGCACUUCCAUAACCGAAAAUUUUGAGGUGUUCCAGAUCUGGAGAAGGCUGUAGCUGCUCAAGUACAUUUCUUUCAUGUUCUAAAUCUCUCUGAGGCACAAAGUUAGGUACAUCUGCCUUUUCAGCGCUCCAACGCAACACUAAUUUUUGCAGUUUCUUUUUACCCUUCAAAUCGGCCUUCAAAGCAUCUCCAGAAAAACCAACAUUCUGUAAAUUCGAAAUGGAAAGAGUUCCACGAAGAUGUUGGAGCUCCCCUAACUCGCUGAUGCUGGACCCACUGUGUUUGCCUACAACAAAUGUAGUUAACUUGUGCAAAUCUUUUAGAUCACCCAUAUGUGCUGGCAUCUCUUUCAACUUCGUGCCUCUAAGAUCAAGAUGUUGCAAAUUGGUUAACCUUCCCAAUUUGGUAGGCAACUCAACAAGGUCGUGGCAAUAGGAUAGUAAUAGAAUUUGCAAAUGAAACAGAGCACUCACCGAUUCAGGCAAUAUUUUGAUACGAUUAAAAGAGAGAUUAAGAUAACGUAAUAACUUCAAAUUGCCAAACGAAUUCGGCAACACAUCGAAAUUUUGAUACUGAGAUAAAGAGAGCACUUUUAAGCACCCUAACUUGGGCAGCAGAUCCUGUGUUACAAUGUCACUAACACUUCUCCGGAGCACCCAAUCAUACUUAUUAUAUUUGUCUAGAGGCAAAAAAGUUCGCAAAUACUUGGCUUCAUUCAAGGCUUCAAAUUUUUUAGAUGUAUCACAAUGUGUAAGCAGAUAAGAGAAAUGACGAGUCCUUUUAUUAAUUUCACAAGAGCCAUCAUCCUCAAACCUUGCGAAAAAUUUCCCCGAUACAAACUUAGCCAAAUCAUUUAUUAGGUCAUGCAUAACAAACCACGUUCUCGAAGAACCACUUGAUCGCUGAAAAAACGACCUUGAUGCAAGCUCGUCAAAGUAGUCAUCGCCUACUUCUUCCAACAUCGUGCCUUUUCCUUUGGCGUGGUCUAAUAAGCCUUCUCCCAUCCACAAUAGAACUAAUUCUUCCUUCUUAAAUCUGUAAUCCUUGGGGAAAAGUGAACAGAAUGCAAAGCAUGGUUUUAGAUACGAAGGAAGAUAGUGAUAACUCAACCUUAGGGCUGGAAGAAUAUCACUUUCAUCAUCCGAAAACUCCCAAAUAUCACUCUUCAGUAUCUUGUCCCAUUCCCUGGCACCAACUUUCAUGCGUAACAGACCCCCAAGGGUUUUUAUGGCUAAAGGUAGGCCUUUGCACUUUUUCACAAUUUCUCUACCCAUGGCUUCUAAUUCAGGACGAAUAGUAGUAUUUCCACUGCCGCUGCACACAUGCUUGGUGAAUAAGGACCAGCAAUCUCUCUCCAAUAACUGCUUUAGAUUAUAACUUGAUGUUGUAGUUCUCAUGACAGAUGCAACACCUUCGUCACGAGUUGUCACGAUGAUCUUACUACCUUCUGCUGCAGACUUAAGAGGGCGUUUCAGUGCUUCCCAAUCAGCAUAUUUCUUGUUCCAAACAUCAUCUAGAACAAGAAGAAAUUUCCUUCCCUGAAGUCUGUCCUUUAAAUGAAUCUGGAGCAGAUUAAGGUCCUUUAUAUCACAAGUAGUAGAAGUGAGCCCUUCAAUGAUGGUUCUCGUUACCCUCUGCACAUCAAAUUCUUCUGUGACACAGACCCAUACUUUGCGCUCAAACCACUUUGUCACUGUGCUGUCAUUGUAGACAAGCUGAGCAAGAGUAGUCUUUCCAAGCCCACCCAUGCCCACAAUACUAAUCACUCCUAACUCAUGGCUGUUGAUCUUUUGAGAAUAUUUAUAAGAGAGAAUUUCAUAAAAGAGAUAAAUUGAAAACAAGAAAUGAUUAAUAAUUUCACUGCUGCAGUAAGUGUAUUUAUACACAAAUAUUGAGAGGAUAAAAGCAAGAAACAGUUACUCUAAAAAUAGGGGAUCAAAGACAGCACAACUUAUAACUGCUGUCUUUUAACGGCUCACAACAUGUGGCCUUUAUUUCUAAAAAAAAACUGCUUAACUGCUUAAGGAUAAAAUUCUAAGUCAUGUGUUUUGACAUAUGGACAUCCUUAUCUUUGAAGUGUUGAUGUCAUGCUCUGCAACCGAGACUUUAAAUUCCAUUACACCUCCUUGAAGUCGACGUUGCCCAUUCCCAGUUUGCUUCUAAGCAACUCAAAUUUUUCUCUGCAUAAUCCCUUAGUAAAAAUAUCUGCUAUUUGAUCAUCAGUACCACAGUAAUUUACAACAACUUCAUUGUUCGUCACAGCUUUUCGUAUUACAUGAAACUUUAUCCUGAUGUGUUUGGUUCUACUGUGAUUAAUUGGAUUUUUAGCCAGAGCAAUAGCAGACUGAUUGUCUAACCAGAGAACAGUUGGAUUUAUUUGUUCAAACUUCAAAUCCAAAAGUACCUUUCUAAGCCACAGAGCUUGAUUUGUUGCAGACGCAGCAGCCACAUACUCUGCUUCAGCAGAGGAUUGAGCAACAAUGUCUUGUUUCUUUGAGUUCCAACUGAACAUAGCACUUCCAAAAGAAAAACAAUAUCCACUGGUGCUUUUUGAAUCAUCAUAACUCCCAGCCCAAUCACUAUCACUAUACCCUUCCAAUUCUUUAUUUUCAACUUGUCCAUACAAAAGACCAUAAUUUAGAGUCCCUUUCACAUACCUCAAAACUCGUUUUGCAGCAGUUAAAUGAGUCUUUGUAGGUGAUUGCAUAAAUCGAGAAAGCAGACUAGUGGUAUACAUUAUAUCUGGCCUUGAUGCUGAGAGAUAUAGCAAGCAACCAAUUAAUUUCCUAUACUGAGUAACAUCAACCAAGGUACUUCCAUCAUCUUUACACAGUUUGGUUCCAGUAGUAAGUGGUGUAGACACAGGCUUACAACCUUCCAUCUUAAAUCUUUUUAACAGCUCUCCUGCAUAUUUUUUUUUGAUGCAAGCAGAUAAAGUCUGACCUUUGCUGAAUUUCCAAACCAAGGAAAUAACUCAUUUCACCCAAGUCACUCAUAUCAAACUCAGAUUUCAUUUUAUUUCUGAAGCUGUUCAAAUCAGAUUUAUUUGGUCCAGUUAUAAGUAAAUCAUCUACAUAAACUGAGACAAUAAGUUGGAUUUUACCCAACGAACUCUUCACGUAUAAGGUGGGUUCACUUUCACUGCGAAAGAAUUUGUUACUCCUCAGAUAAGCAUCAAUUUUUUUAUACCAAGCUCUUGGUGCCUGCUUUAAACCGUAAAGAGCCUUGAUCAAUUUACAGACUUUGUCUUCUUUGCCUUUCUCAACAAAUCCUUCAGGCUGCUCGACAUAAAUAUCUUCACUUAUAGUCCCAUUUAAAAACGCAGAUUUAACAUCCAUGUGCCAAAUCCUCCAUUUUUCCCUUCCUGCAAGUGCUACAAGAAGUCUAAUGGUGUCAUGCCUUGCCACUGGAGCAAAAGUCUCAAAAAAAUCCACACCAUGGACUUGAGAAAAACCUCUCACCACCAACCUGGCUUUCAAUUUAUUUAUUGAGCCAUCAGAGUUUAGCUUGGUUCUGAAAAUCCACUUUACACUGAUAACUCUUUGAUGUUUUGGUCUAUCAACCAAAAUCCAAGUUUGGUUUCUUUUAAUCAUUGUCAUUUCAGCCUCCAUAGCAAGUUUCCAUUGUUUAUCAGAUGCAGCUUCAAUAUAGGAACAUGGAUCAGUUAUAGCAACGUUACAUUGCUCAUAAAUAUCUUGUAAAGAUCGAAUUCCUCUUACUGGUAUGUCAUCGAUAUUAUCAUCUAACUCAUGUCCUGCUUCUUCUUCAAAAACAUCCAGGUUUACCGCAACAUUAUCAUUGUUAUUUUCUGCAAUUUCAUUCUUCAUCCAAUUCCAGUGAAUGUCUUCAUUGAACACUACAUCUCGACUUAUGAAAACUUUCUUUGUUUCAACAUUAAACAAUCGAUAUCCUUUUGAAACACUGCUAUAACCCAAGUUGAUUGAGAUUUGGGUUUUUGAGUCCAGUUUGGUUCUUUUCUGCUGGGGAACUUGGGCAUAUGCAAUGCAGCCAAAUACUUUCACAUUUGAAAUAGAUGGUUUAUAUCCAUGCCAAACUUCAAAUGGUGUCAUUGAAUUUAAAGCUGUAGUGGGUAUUAAAUUUUGCAAAGUCACAGCAAAAUUUGCAGCCUCUGCCCAAAAGUAUUUUGGCAUUUGUUGCUCAAAUAAUAGACAUCUGAUCAUCUCCAUAAUAGUACGAUUCUUCGUCUCGCUCACACCGUUUUGCUGAGGACUGUAGGGUACUGUAAGAAAUUGCUUGAUUCCUUCUUGAGUUAACAGGGCUUUAAACUCAUUUGAAGUGUAUUCUGAGCCAUUAUCUGAUCUUAAGGCUUUAAUUUUCUGAUCAGUUUGCUUCUCCACAAGAACUUUGAACUUCAUAAAGUAUUGAAUGGCUUCUGACUUUUGCUUAAGAAAAAAUAUCCAGCAAAACCUACUGAAAUCAUCAAUAAACAAAAUGAAAUAUUUGUUUCCAUUGAGUGAUAAAGUGCCAAUAGGACCACAAAUAUCAGUAUGUAUGAGUUGCAACCGAUUUGUGGCUCGUGUUUGACUUUGUUUAGGAAAAGGAUGCCUGCUUUUCUUGCCCUGUAGACAAACUUCACAUGUUUUCUCAACUUCAGUAAUUACUGGCAUAUCAUUGACAAGAUUCAAAGAUCCCAUGUUCUUUAUCGACUGAUAGUCGAUGUGGCCUAAUCUUUUGUGCCACANUCAUCUUUACACAGUUUGGUUCCAGUAGUAAGUGGUGUAGACACAGGCUUACAACCUUCCAUCUUAAAUCUUUUUAACAGCUCUCCUGCAUAUUUUUUUUUGAUGCAAGCAGAUAAAGUCUGACCUUUGCUGAAUUUCCAAACCAAGGAAAUAACUCAUCUCACCCAAUUCACUCAUAUCAAACUCGGAUUUCAUUUUAUUUCUGAAGCUGUUCAAAUCAGAUUUAUUUGGUCCAGUUAUAAGUAAAUCAUCUACAUAAACUGAGACAAUAAGUUGGAUUUUACCCAACGAACUCUUCACGUAUAAGGUGGGUUCACUUUCACUGCAAAAGAAUUUGUUACUCCUCAGAUAAGCAUCAAUUUUUUUAUACCAAGCUCUUGGUGCCUGCUUUAAACCGUAAAGAGCCUUGAUCAAUUUACAGACUUUGUCUUCUUUGCCUUUCUCAACAAAUCCUUCAGGCUGCUCGACAUAAAUAUCUUCACUUAUAGUCCCAUUUAGAAACGCAGAUUUAACAUCCAUUUGCCAAAUCCUCCAUUUUUCCCUUCCUGCAAGUGCUACAAGAAGUCUAAUGGUGUCAUGCCUUGCCACUGGAGCAAAAGUCUCAAAAAAAUCCACACCAUGGACUUGAGAAAAACCUCUCACCACCAACCUGGCUUUCAAUUUAUUUAUUGAGCCAUCAGAGUUUAGCUUGGUUCUGAAAAUCCACUUUACACUGAUAACUCUUUGAUGUUUUGGUCUAUCAACCAAAAUCCAGGUUUGGUUUCUUUUAAUCAUUGCCAUUUCAGCCUCCAUAAUAAGUUUCCACUGUUUAUCAGAUGUAGUUUCAGUAUAGGAACUUGGAUCAGUUAUAGCAACGUUACAUUGCUCAUAAAUAUCUUGUAAAGAUCGAAUUCCUCUUACUGGUAUGUCAUCGAUAUUAUCAUCUAACUCAUGUCCUGCUUCUUCUUCAAAAACAUCCAGGUUUACCGCAACAUUAUCAUUGUUAUUUUCUGCAAUUUCAUUCUUCAUCCAAUUCCAGUGAAUGUCUUCAUUGAACACUACAUCUCGACUUAUGAAAACUUUCUUUGUUUCAACAUUAAACAAUCGAUAUCCUUUUGAAACACUGCUAUAACCCAAGUUGAUUGAGAUUUGGGUUUUUGAGUCCAGUUUGGUUCUUUUCUGCUGGGGAACUUGGGCAUAUGCAAUGCAGCCAAAUACUUUCACAUUUGAAAUAGAUGGUUUAUAUCCAUGCCAAACUUCAAAUGGUGUCAUUGAAUUUAAAGUUGUAGUGGGUAUUAAAUUUUGCAAAGUCACAGCAAAAUUUGCAGCCUCUACCUAAAAGUAUUUUGGCAUUUGUUGCUCAAAUAAUAGGCAUCUGAUCAUCUCCAUAAUAGUACGAUUCUACAUCUCGCUUACACCGUUUUGCUGAGGACUGUAGGGUACUGUAAGAAAUUGCUUGAUUCCUUCUUGAGUUAACAGGGCUUUAAACUCAUUUGAAGUGUAUUCUGAGCCAUUAUCUGAUCUUAAGGCUUUAAUUUUCUGAUCAGUUUGCUUCUCCACAAGAACUUUGAACUUCAUAAAGUAUUGAAUGGCUUCUGACUUUUGCUUAAGAAAAAAUAUCCAGCAAAACCUACUGAAAUCAUCAAUAAACAAAAUGAAAUAUUUGUUUCCAUUGAGUGAUAAAGUGCCAAUAGGACCACAAAUAUCAGUAUGUAUGAGUUGCAACCGAUUUGUGGCUCGUGUUUGACUUUGUUUAGGAAAAGGAUGCCUGCUUUUCUUGCCCUGUAGACAAACUUCACAUGUUUUCUCAACUUCAGUAAUUAUUGGCAUAUCAUUGACAAGAUUCAAAGAUCCCAUGUUCUUUAUGAACUGAUAGUUGAUGUGGCCUAAUCUUCUGUGCCACAACCUAGCUUCAUUUGAAACACAUUUAUAAGCCAUAUGACCUGCUUCAUUCAAAUCUAAUGGGAAACAUUUGUUUCUCGUUUUUACAGUUGCUAUUUCUCUACCAGAUGGGUCAAAAAUCGUGCACAGUUCAUCUUUGAACAAAAGUGAAUUUUUUUCUUUCACUAACUGCCCUACACUUAGAAGGUUUUGAGUAACUUCAGGUGCAAAGCAAACAUUUGCAAUGGUUUUCAUACCUUUCUUAGUAGUGAUACCAACAGUGCCACGACCUUCAAUUUUUAGCAAAUUUCCAUCUCCAAUUUCCACAGUUGACUUGUAGGCUUUAUUUAGAUCAAGAAAAUUCUUAAUCUUACCUGUAAUAUGCGUGGAGCAGGCACUAUCAAUCAACCAAAUACUGUCUUUUUUUGAGUCAUUUGAUUCAAUAACCAUAAAUAGUGUUUCUUCAGCAUCUUCCUUUUGUUCCACAAUUGCAGCUUUUUCUUCAACCCAAUUUUCUUUGUUUUUGCAAACUUUUUCAACAUGUCCCUUUUGAUUGCAAGCUCUACAUUUUACAUGAGGCCUAUACCAACAAUAUCUCUCAAUGUGAUUCUUCUUUUUGCAAUAGGAACAUGGUGGAAAUUGCCCUUUCUUUCUUUGUUUCUUUUCUUCAUACCUCUUAUCUUUGUCUUUCUUCUCAUGUUCAGACUUCUUGUGACUUCCACUACUGGUUCGUUUGUCAACUCUUCUUGCAGCCAAGGCUGCUUCAACAUGGUCUUCUUGCCUUAAUGCUCUGCGUUGCUCUUGAGCUUGUAAAGCAUUUAUUAAUUCUGAUACUGACAUAGUUGUCAGGUCCUUAGAAUCCUCUAGAGAGGAAAUUUUUGAUUCGAAUUUUUCAGGCAAACUUACCAAAAAUUUAUUGACAACUCUUCUUUCUGUUAUAUUUUCACCAAAUAGUCUUAAUUGAUUUACAACUCUUAAAACUUUAUCAGAAUAAUCCUUCAUCGUUUCUUCAUCUUUCAUUUUUAGCACUUCAAAUUCUCUCAACAAAUUUAAAAUCUGUAUUUGCCUUGUACGAUCACUACCAUGAAACUCUUCCUUUAUCUUGUCCCAAGCUUCCUUUGCAGAUUCACAUGCCAUGAUCCUUACAAAGAUUGCAUCCGUGACAGCAGAGUGGAUGCAAGACAAAGCUUUAAAUCGUUUUGCUACUUCUUCAUUGUAUUGCUUCAUUUGAGCAAUUGUUGGGUUGGCUUGUCGGGCAGGAGGAUCUCCUCCUACUUCCACAAAUUCCCACAAGUCGAAGGCCUUUAGAUAUGCCUUCAUUUUUACAGCUCACAUGGGAUAAUUGUUGCCAUUGAAAACUGGAGGAGCAGCAAUGCUGUAAUUGGAGGAAGCCAUUUAUUUUUGAAGUCUGACAGAAAGAACAGAUAAAGAAAAAAAAUUUUGUAAAAGAUAAAUGUUUUGAAACUAUUUUGCCAAGGUCCCCUAAGAUCACUCAAAAACGCUCUGAUACCAUGUUGAUCUUUUGAGAAUAUUUAUAAGAGAGAAUUUCAUAAAAGAGAUAAAUUGAAAACAAGGAAUGAUUAAUAAUUUUACUGCUGCAGUAAGUGUAUUUAUACACAAAUAUUGAGAGGAUAAGAGCAAGAAACAGUUACUCUAAAAAUAGGGGAUCAAAGACAGCACAACUUAUAACUGCUGUCUUUUAACGGCUCACAACAUGUGGCCUUUAUUUCAAAAAAAACUGCUUAACUGCUUUAGGAUAAAAUUUUAAGUCAUGUGUUUUGACAUACGGACAUCCUUAUCUUUGAAGUGUUGAUGUCAUGCUCUGCAACCGAGACUUUAAAUUCCAUUAAUGGCAACUUGCAUCAUCUGAAAGCAGCAUCUUAAUUAAAGCCUCUCUGUCAUCAUUCCUGCCAUACACUUCAGAUGCAUAUACCAAAGAGGUUGUUGGUAAUUUUGGUGGCUUUUUUUCCCUGACAUCAUUUCGUAGGCCGAGGAUAUUAAUUUGUUUUCCAAUGUGUUCUAGUCUUUUGAAGAUCUCUUCCAACUUUGGGUUCAUCCUCUCAGGAAAAGAGAAAACGUUUGGUACCCGAGACGCCCAGGUGGUUUGAGGCUCUUCUUUCAGCUUGCGCAAAAAAGUGAGCGAUGCAAUCUCCUCCAGUAUGUCUUCUGCAUCAUAGACAGCAUCUUUAAGCUCAUCGAGCCAGUUUUUCACAGCCUGAUUUUUCAUCUGCUUUUCCUCUGCGUCAUUCAGUACUGCCUCAAGGGACAACAGGGUUAUCUGUAGUUUCUUCAGCAUUUCAUCAUUGACACUGCCGCUAAAGAAGUUCAAUACCUCAGGAGAUGCCAUUCUAUCAAACAACGCGCCGAAUAAGCUAGACAGAAAUGCUCCUCCUACCAAUUCUGCAGCCAUAGUUUCUCCUUUGGGAUGGAAGUGAUUGUGAUGAGAAGGUGAAAGCAACUGCAAUCGAUGGGGAAGAAAGGGGAAAACUUAUGAUCAGGUUCUGUUGCUCAAAGUCCCUGGUAUGUUGUGGAAGGAUACACAAACUUCAACUGAUUUUUCCAAAUUGAAAGCUACAAAAUUAUUUCCAACAAGAUUAGAGAUUGGGUAUUAUUCGCAAGGAGUGGGCCACAGAACUUUAUUUGCUUUCGGUGCAAAUUCAUUUGUUUGUCUUCAACGUUGGGCGGUACUGAAGGUUCUGAGUGAUAAAGUGAAUAACUGAGUGAGGAAAGAAAAUUGCUUGCAGACUAUCUUUUCCAUGUGGCGAUACAAAGAUUCCUUCUGCGAAAUUUCGUGGAAUUUUCUUUUGACUUGCUUAUCUAACAAGUUGUGUGGAAUUUGCUUUUGCUUUACUUUUGGAUAUGAAAACUACAUGGGUCAGUCGGCGUGUACCGCACCGUAAGAUGGAGGAUUUUACACCCAAAGCUCUGCUUCCAUAGGUGCAUCCCCUUAAUUUGCCAAGCCAAAACGGCCCCUCCCCUUUAAUCAAAUCAUGUACAGUCUUCUUCUCUAUUAAUAACAGCCAUUUUGCAUCCAUGAAGUUCCAACAAUUAAAUACAAGUGCAUGUCAUAAACACUAGCAUGCUGCUAAAGUUCAAAUAAGAAGCUCAAAAUCAAAUGCCUUUUCCUUAUUCAGAUGGAUUUCUGUGACUUUAAAUAGGCACAAAAUAAUCACUGUUUUGAGAGAUGUACUCUUCAUUUUUAUAAGAUAAGAUAAUUUCAUGAGAUAUACAAACAUACCCACAUGCAAAAAAUUCGAUGAAGUUUAGACUAAAAAUAAUAUUUCAAUGUAAUUAAAUCUAAUAGCCUUGCUUUUGUAAUGUUGGGAAUAUCAUUAGCUUUGAUCCUUAAAAUCUUAAUUUUAAAUUUCGAAGUAGGUUCCUUUAAUUAUAAACACAUUUCACUGCAUCCAAAUAAAAAUUAACCCACUUUAUUAGACUUCAAUGCUUUUUUCAUUAUUAAAAAGGCCCGGUAAUAAAAAUGACCUCAAGACAAAUAAGUACAUGAUGAGAGGAUUAGUCUUCCUUAUUAAAAGAAAAGAAAAGUUGAACAUGGAAUAGUUUUUGGUGUUAGGUUUGCUCUUCAAAUAAUGGUGGUUCAGAGCCCAGAAAUGACAAGAAAAUGAGAACAUGGAGCUCUCAUCUUUUCCAACAGACGAGACAUUUAAUAUUCAUUCCAAGGAGUGGACCACAGAACUUUUUGUGUGCAAAUACAUCUGUCUGUCUUCAAUGAGGAGCUCUAUUGGAAGUUUCUGAGUGGAUGGUCUAUGAAUGGACACAGAAGGACGACCAACUCUAAUGGGGUUCGGUGAGGAAAUUGCUUUCCGGUUCAGUGCAAUUUGCUUUUGGUUGUCUUGUCAAUUUCACUAGAGUGGUCCCUCGCUUCGCGUGGGUGUAUUUUUAAUAAAACAAUAAUUUUAAAUUACAUAAUAUCAUAAAUAAAAAUAAUAAUAGCGAAAAGAGAGUAAUUUUAAUUUAGAAAAAUUAUAAAUAAUAAUAAAUUAAAGAUAAUUAUUUUAAAAUAUUGAUAUUUUAAAAAUAUUUUCUUAUAUCUUAUCAAGUAAAUUUUUUUAUUUAAAUAAUUUUUAAUUUUUAAAAACAUUUGAUUUUUUAUACUUUAAUAUAUGUUAAUAGUAAUAUAAUCAUAUUUUGUUAAUUACGAUGAUUAUAAUAGAGAAAUUAAAUUAAAAUUAAGAAAAUUAAUAUAUUGAAAGUCAUUAUUCAUAAACUACAUAAUUUAUAUAAGUAGCCAAAUAAAAAAAACUACAUAAUUUAUAUAAUAAAAUUAUUAAAAUAAAAUGAAUAUUUUUUGGAAAGUCAAAAUAAAAUGAAUAUUAAUUACGCAUAUUAAAAUUUUCUUAAUUUUAAUGAUGAAAUUUUGUAAAUUAUCUUCAAUUUUAAUUACUACGUUUUUAUCUUAUACCUUUAUAAUUAUUUAGAAUUAAUCCACUAAAAAUAAUUUUGCAAUCCCCCAAUAAUUUUAGUAAGUCAUUAUUAACUUUAUUUAAUUAAUUAUUUUAUUUUUUAUUACUUAUCCAAAAAAUAGUUUCAUUGUUUUAUUCUUAUCUCUUUUUUAAAUUAAUUUUAUAAAUUUAAUUNNNNNNNNNNNNNNNNNNNNNNNNNNNNNNNNNNNNNNNNNNNNNNNNNNNNNNNNNNNNNNNNNNNNNNNNNNNNNNNNNNNNNNNNNNNNNNNNNNNNNNNNNNNNNNNNNNNNNNNNNNNNNNNNNNNNNNNNNNNNNNNNNNNNNNNNNNNNNNNNNNNNNNNNNNNNNNNNNNNNNNNNNNNNNNNNNNNNNNNNNNNNNNNNNNNNNNNNNNNNNNNNNNNNNNNNNNNNNNNNNNNNNNNNNNNNNNNNNNNNNNNNNNNNNNNNNNNNNNNNNNNNNNNNNNNNNNNNNNNNNNNNNNNNNNNNNNNNNNNNNNNNNNNNNNNNNNNNNNNNNNNNNNNNNNNNNNNNNNNNNNNNNNNNNNNNNNNNNNNNNNNNNNNNNNNNNNNNNNNNNNNNNNNNNNNNNNNNNNNNNNNNNNNNNNNNNNNNNNNNNNNNNNNNNNNNNNNNNNNNNNNNNNNNNNNNNNNNNNNNNNNNNNNNNNNNNNNNNNNNNNNNNNNNNNNNNNNNNNNNNNNNNNNNNNNNNNNNNNNNNNNNNNNNNNNNNNNNNNNNNNNNNNNNNNNNNNNNNNNNNNNNNNNNNNNNNNNNNNNNNNNNNNNNNNNNNNNNNNNNNNAUUACAUUAUACUUUUUAUAAAAUAAAAAAUUUUAUUAAAAUAAUUAUUUAAAAUUAUUUAUAUAAGGUUAAAAUAGUUUUUAAUUAUUAAUUUUUAAGAGGUUAAUAAAUGUAUCACGUAUACACGUUUAAACAUGAUAACACGAUUAAACACGAAAACACGAUUAAGUAAACGUGUUUAAACGUGUUUGUCAUGUCUGACACAUUAAGACAUGAAAAUUUCGUGUCUUAACAUGUCAGAUACGAUUAGACACGAAACACGUUAAGGCUAAAUCCAAAACCUGUUUAACUCGUAUCUUCUCGUGUGGUGUUAACGUGUCGUGUACAAAAUUACCAAAUCUAGUGAUCUGCUAUAUACCAAAAUGCUCCAUCUUUUCAUCUAGAUUUAAACUUAAGUAUAAGCAAUUUCUUUCUUUCUUUUUUUAUAUCUAAUAUAGAAUAUAAUUAUUCUAUUUUUAUAAUUAACUAUAUUUAAUUUUACAAAAACGAAAAGAAUGACAAGAGAGAGGCUUUCUUUAAAAUUAUAACAAUAAAUAAAAAAGAGAGUGGUGUGAAUAAAAAUACAUGAGACUUUAGAGUUCAAUCUCUUUCGAUCCCCAUUGGUCAGCGAGCUUAACAUGAUUCUUCUCCUUUUAAACCAUUUCAAUUGUAAGUCCAUAUUCACUUAUCAUGAACUCUUACUCACCGAAUCCCCACUCUCUUAUGAUGACGUGGUCAAAUCUAAAAGCAGCUUUAAGUCUUCUUUUUAUAUAUGUUAUAGAUUACUUAUGCGAAAUUCCCUGGAAUUUGCUUUUGGUUUUCUCAUCUAGCAAUUGUGUGGAAUUUGCUCUUUCUUGACCCUUGGAUGUGGAAGAUUAAUAAUAAAAAAAGACUACUUGAGUCGCUAGUCGUGUGUGGUACCGUAAGAGAGAAUAUACGAGCAUGGAAAUUACACCCAAAGCCCUGCUUUCCAUAGCUAUAUCCCCUUCAUUUCCCAAGCCAAAACAGCCCCUCCCUGUUUAAGUUUUUAAAGUGAAUGAAUUUAGAGAGAGAAAGCUUGUGAAAACGAUGAACCAGCUGAGAGAGAAAGAGCAUUUGCUUGGUAUCUCCCUUAUGAAAGGCAUAACCCGAGUACAUGAGAGAGACAAAGAUUCAUCAACAUUAAAAAAACAAAACAGCCAAUGACAGAAGCGGACACGGCGACGCGCACCACACCACAACACGUGGAUAGUAGACAAAAGCCACAAAAUGGUAACGCAGCAAAUGUUAAAAGGAAUAAAGCAUGAUAGCUAAACGGUGCCGCAUUAAUCUCCCCUAAAAUGGAUCACGUGGAACUGCACACCUGACUUCUUCUCCUUCACCAAUUCGAACCCUAUUUUGGCGCGAACCUCCAUAGCUAUCAGAGGGCGCAAACGCUGUUGUUAAGACACAACUCAAUUUCAACACUCCCCUUUAAUCAAAUCACGACCAAUCUUCUUCUCUUUUAAUAACAACCAUUUUACGUUCAUGAUGUUGCAACUUUUGUGCCCAAAUGGUUGAAAUGCUAUCAUGGCUGAUUCAAACACCAUGUCACACAAUAAUGCCAAAGAACAAACCAAAAAUCACUGUUUUCAGAGACAUACUCUUCCUUUUUUAUAAGAUAACUAAUUUCACUGUUCUAAUCAAUAUUAACUUCGAGUUUCUUAAUUAUUAAUCUUUAGCCAGUAUUCAGAGACAUACCUUUAGCCAGUUUCUAAGGUAAUGUUGGCACUACCAUCAGUUUUGAUCCUUAAAAUCUGGAUUUUAAACUUCAAAGUAGGAUCCCUUAAUUAUAAACACAUUUCACUGCAUUCAAAUAGAUAUCCACGUUAUUAAACUUCAAUGAUUUUGUUUGUUUGUCCGUGAAACAAAGCCAGACAAAGAUAAAAGUAGCCCAAGUUGUAACUUUGAGGCUUUAACAUUGACGGUAGAUACAAGUUUUACUCGUGAAGCAAACCCCAUAAACUGGAGCUCCAUAUUUCCCAGUUCUCCCAAAAUGCUGAAUGCAAAGAUUAUUGCAUUCAUCUUGUGUGCAGCCUGGAUUUGGAAAUGACUGCUCACACUCUCAGCUCUGUCCCAUCAUCAGCUGAUUGCCUGUAAUCAUAAAACACACGUCUGAUUAAUGAUUAAUCUGCACACCAUUCAAAGGCUCAUUUCUUUACAGUUCUAUCCUACUUUUGUUUUUUAAUGCUAAAGGGCUGCAUAGAUUUAGUGAAUAAUGGAAACCUUACCAAAAGAAAGUAACAGAAGCAGUAAAACGGCGGAGAAGGAGAAGGAGAAGCUCCUCAUGGCUUCAAUUUGUUUUGUCUGUGGCAGUGCGUUGGUUCAAGACUACAGGGACCGUAUGGUUUCUGCUAUUUAAAAGAAGUUGAGAAUGUAAGAUUCAUUGCUUGGAAUUCUAAGUUCUUGUUGCUUUUGACAUAAAAGGGAAGAUAUAUGCUGGAUCAAGGUUGUUUUCUUCGAUUAUAUCCAACAAAUAUAGUUGUAAAAUUCAUCAUACAUGGAAGUUGAAUUAUAGUGAUUACUCGUAUAUGGUCAGACACCUGAAUUUCCAACUAGAAAAAUAGUAAAAACUUGUGUUGAGCCUAAGACAGUAAAUUACAAAGAUUCACAAUGACAUAACAACUAAAGCAAAAAAAAACAAUGUCCAAUGAUCACAAAGUAAAUUUGGGUCUUAUGUUUCUUAUAACAGAUAUGGUAGAAUGCAUCACCAAAUGCAAAAAUGCCUCUGAUAGAAGAUAUGAACUCACUUGAACUGCCAUCAGCAGCUCUCAAAUUAAAAACAAAUGUUCAUAGACCUGGAAGCUCUCAAAUUGCAUGCCAAGAUGGAUUUUGAAAAAAUAAUAAAUGAAUGAGCAAAGGAAUAGAACUUCCAAACAAUGAUUUGGAAGUUCAACUUCAUGCCAGAAAAACAGAGCCAAAUGCAAUUGUACUAAACAAAUACAACUUCAGCAGCCUCACACUUUCCUGGUCUUUUUAACCUUUUCUUGUUUUCUUUCUUCUAAAUAAAAGAAAAAAAAAAAGAAAUACAGAAAAACCUAUUAAGAUUAGGGCAUUCUUUAUGGAAAGAUAAAAAUAUAAAAACAUACUGAUUAAGUUAAAGCUGUUACUGAUAGACUAGCCAAUUAAGGAAUAUCACACAAUAAAAGUUCAAAAUGAUGCAUGCAGUAAAUUAGGAGAAAGAAGAAAAAAGAAUUAAGCAAUUGAGCUAUUACACUAAAAAGAAAUGCGAAAAUAAACUCCACUGAAAGGCCUCAAUAAUGUUCAUGAAAGAACUUUUAAAACAAAAAAUAUAUAGUAAAUAAAGAUAUACAUUAUAGACAAAACUCAAAAGUAUACGAAAUGAAACGAAUGAUUAACAAAUGUUAUUAUGUAGAGUGCAGAUGGGAUACCUGAGCCAAAUGAAUUCUCUGAGACAUUGAGUUUAGGCGAUGAUGACUUGACCAUCAAUUGUUAUCGAUGGGAUGUGGGAAAUCUUGGCCCAAUCUUUACCCUUCUCCUUUUGGCAACGUUUUGUCAGCAAUGGACAGUCGGAAAUGGAUAUAGAAGAAAGGGAGACAGGGAGCCCCUCUGGUGGCAUGGAUUGGAGCUUUGGGCAAAAAUUGAUGUCCAAUUCCUGAAUAGAGGUAAGGUGUUGAAGCCCUUUGUAGUCCAAAGUCUUGAGAUUUGGAAGCCACGAAAUGUGAAGAUUGGUAAUAGUGGAUGGCAGCAGCUGCUCAUCCGGAAAGAACUCCAUAUCUCCUCCACUCAUUUUGAAAUAUGUAAGACAGCGGAGUUUGUGCAAUCCCCAUCCCAUUCGACCAGCAAUAAGUUUAUUACAACAACUAAUAUCAAGAAAUUGUAAGUUGAAUGGCAAGCCCCCUUCUGGAAAUGACUCAAUCUCUGAACAAUUCGCUACAGACAAAUAGUCGAGGGAUGGGAGAAGGGAGUGCAUUUGCUCGGGGAGUGACUUUAAAUUUUUGCAAUUGAAGAGAUAAAGCAUUGUCAAAUUAGGGGCAGAUAAUCCUCCUUUGGGAAAAGAUACAAAAUUAGGACAGUCGAAUAUAUUUAUAGAAUGGAGAGAUGGGAGAUGCUGGUGAGGUCCCUCUAAUGCAGAAAACGACUUGAUGUUUGUACAAAGCGAGAAGUUCAAGCUAUUUAGGUUAGGAAAAGAGCCUAAUGAGAAUGAUUCUAGUGAAUCAAGGGCAUUCAACACGUUCAAAUUUUGUAGAGAUGUGCACAAGAGGAUUCUAGAAAAAUCAAACUCACCGCAGUUAUUAAUCAUCAAUCUCUUCAAGGAAACAGGUAGACGACCUUCAGGAAGGGACUUAAGAGAAGCACAACUUCCAAUAGACAAUCCUUCAAGACGAGUGCAGUGCUGCAGCAUCAGCUCCAGUGAGGAAUCUUGGACACUGCAAUUUUCAACUGCUAAAUUUUGCAGCUCUGUUGGUAGUGCCUGCAGCUGCAUUUUAUCACAAUUCACUAAUUUCAGUUCAUGCAUGUCAGGCGCCCUCGAGAGAGCACUACCAAGCGUCUCACAAUUUUCAAUCCUAAAUUUCCUUAGAAGAGGAAGUGUUUUAGGCAGAUCUCCCUUCAGCUUGGGACAAUCUAUUAUGUACAGUUCUUGCAGACUACAGAAAGUUCCAUUUUCAUCUCCCAAACACAACCAUUUUUUCCACUCCGGCAUGUUCUCGAACCUCAGUAUUUCAAGUGAGUCAAAGGACUUCAUACUAGAACCAUUCCCAUAGAACUCAGAACCUACUGCAGUUACUCGAGGAAAUCCUCUGAGAGACAGGUUCUUCAAAGACCGUAGAUGUCCAAGUGCUGGCAAGGACAAGCAAUGCUCACAAUUGCCCAAUUCCAAGGAUACAAUUUUUGAAAAGGAAUGAUCUCCCACCCAUUCUGGAAAUUGUGUACCCCCAUAAUAGAAAAUUUUGAGGUGUUCCAGAUCUGGAGAAGGCUGUAGUUGCUCAAGUACAUUUCUUUGAUGAUCCAAGUCUUCAUGAGGCACACACUUAGGUACUUCUACCUCUCUUUCCAUGAACAAAGGCACAACAAACAUAUCCUUAGAAUAAUCUUCAAUUUCAUCUCCCCAACUCAACACUAACCCCUGCAGUUUCUUCUUACCCUUCAAAUCGGCCUUCAAAGCAUCUCCAGAACAACCAACAUUUUGCAAAUUCAAAAUGGAAAGGGUUCCGUGAAGAUGUUGGAGCUCCCCUAACUCACUGAUGCUGGACCCACUGUGUUUGCCUACAACAAAUGUAGUUAACUUGUGCAAAUCUUUUAGUUUGCCCAUAUGUGCUGGCAUCUGUUUCAACUUUGUGCCUCUAAGAUCAAGAUGUUGCAAAUUGAUUAACCUUCCCAAUUUGGUAGGCAACUCAACAAGGUCGCAGCAAUAGGAUAGUAAUAGAAUUUGCAAAUGAAACAAAUGACUCACUGAUUCAGGCAAUUUUUUUAUGUAAGUAUAAGAGAGAUCAAGAUAACGUAGUAGUUUCAAAUUGCCAAUCGAAUUCUGCAACAUGUGGAUAUUCCAAUAAGAAGAUAAAGAGAGCACUCUUAAGCACCCCAACUUGGGCAGCAAAUCAUGCGUUAUAAUGUCACUAACAUACCUGUUCAGCCAAUUCCACGGACCUCUGUCUACAGGCAGAAAAGUUCGUAAAUGCUUGGCUUCAUUCAAGGCCUCAAAUUUUUUAGAUGUAUCAUAUCUUUUCACCAGAUAAGAGAAAUGACGAGUCUUUUCAUUAAUUUCACAAGAGCCAUCAUCCUCUAACCUUGCAAAAAAUUUCCCCGAUACACUUUCAGCCAAGUCAUGCAUUAGGUCAUGCAUAACAAACCUUGUUCCUGAAAAACCAAUUGAUCGCUGAAAAAAUGACCUUGACGCAAGCUCAUCAAAGUAGUAAGCACCUACCUCUUCCAACAUCUUACCAUUUCCUUUGGUGCCGUCUAAUAAGCCUUCUCCCAUCCACAAUAGAACUAAUUUUUCCCUUUGGAAUUCAUAAUCCUUGGGGAAAAGUGAACAGAAUGCAAAGCAUGGUUUUAGAUACGAAGAAAGAUAGUGAUAACUCAACCUUAGGGCUGGAAGAAUGUCACUUUCAUCAUCUGAAAACUCCCAAAUAUCAUUCUUCAAUAUCUUUUCCCAUUCCCUGGCAUCAACUUUCAUGCGUAACAGACCCCCAAGGGUUUUUAUGGCUAAAGGUAGGCCUUUGCACUUUUUCACAAUUUCUCUACCCAUGGCUUCUAAUUCAGGAUGAAUAGUGGUAUUUCCACUACCGCUGCACACAUGCUUGAUGAAUAAGGACCAGCAAUCUUUCUCCGAUAACAGCUUUAGAUUAUAACUUGACGUUGUAGUUCUCAUGACAGAUGCAACACCUUCGUCACGAGUUGUCACGAUGAUCUUACUACCCUCUGCCGCAGACUUAAGAGGGCGUUUCAGUGCUUCCCAAUCAUCAUAUUUCUUGUUCCAAACAUCAUCUAGAACAAGAAGAAAUUUCCUUCCCUGAAGUCUCUCCUUUAAAUGAAUCUGGAGCUGAUUAAGGUCCUUUAUAUCACAAGUAGCGGAAGUGAGCCCUUCAAUGAUGAUUCUUGUUAACCUGUACAUAUCAAAUUCUUCUGUGACACAUACCCAUACUUUGAGCUCAAACCACUCUCUCACUGUGCUGUCAUUGUAGACAAGCUGAGCAAGAGUGGUCUUUCCAAGCCCACCCAUGCCCACAAUAGUAAUCACUCCUAACUCAUGGCAACUUGCAUCAUCUGAAAGCAGCAUCUUAAUUAGAGCUUCUCUAUCAUCAGUCCUACCAUACACUUCAGAUUCAUCUACCAAAGAGGUGGUUGGUAAUUUUGGUGAUGGUUUUUUUCCGACAUCAUUUCUCAGGCCAAGGGUAUCAGUUUGCUUUGCAAUGUCAUCUAGCCUGUUAAGGAUCGCUUCCAACUUUCGCUCCAUCCUCUUAGUAAAUGGAUUAGGAAAAGAGAAACAGUUCCUUACCAGAGGUGUACAGCUAGUUUGAGGUUCUUCUUUCAGCUUGCGUGACAAAGUGAACGAUUCAAUCUCCUCCAAUAGGUCCUCUGCAUCAUAGACAGCAUCUUUAAGCUCAUCGAGCCACUCUUGCACAGCCCGAUUUUUCAUCUGCUUUUCCUCUGCAUCAAUCAGCACUGCCUGAACAGGCAACAGGGUUCUCUUCAGUUUGUGCAGCAGUUCAUCAUUGAGUUGUCUAUUGCUGAAGAAGUUCAAAACCUCACGAGAUGCCAUUCUUUCCAACAACACCUGAAGGAAAGUAGACAGAAAUGCUCCUCCUACCAAUUCAGCCAUAGUUUCUUCUUUGGUAUGGAAGUGAUUGUGAUGAGAAGGUGAAAGCAAAUGCAAUCGAUGGGGAAGAAAGGGGAAAACUUAUGAUCAGGUUCUGUUGCUCAAAGUCCCUGGUGUGUUGUGGAAGGAUACACAAACUUCAACUGAUUUUUCAAAUUGAAAGCUAAAAAAUUAUUUCCAACAAGAUUAGACAUGGCAUAUUAUUUGCAAGGAGUGGGCCACAGAACUUUAUUUGCUUUCGGUGCAUGGGAUUAAAAAUAAACACAUGCAAAAAAUUCAUGAGAUAUACAAACAUACCCAAAAAAUUCGAUGAAGUUUAGAUUAAAAAUAAUAUUUCAAUUUAAUUAAAUCUCAUAGCCUUGCUUUUGUAAUGUUGGGAAUAUCAUUAGCUUUGAUCCUUAAAAUCUUAAUUUCAAACUUCGAAGUAGGUUCCUUUAAUUAUAAACACAUUUCACUGCAUCCAAAUAGAAAUUAACCCACUUUAUUAAACUUCAAUGCUUUUUUCAUUAUUAAAAAGGACCAGUAAUAAAAAUGACCUCAAGAUAAAUAAGUAAAUGUUGAGAGGAUCUGUCUUCAUUAUUAAAAGAAAAGAAAAGUUAAACAUGGAAUAGUUUUUGGUGUUAGGUUUGCUCUUCAAAUAAUGGUGGUUGAGAGCCCAGAAAUGACAAGAAAAUGAGAACAUGGAGCUCUCAUCUUUUCCAUCAGAUAAGACAUUUAAUAUUCAGUCCAAGGAGUGGACCACAGAACUUUAUCUGUGCAAAUACAUCUGUCUGUCUUCGAUGAGGAGCUGUAUUGGAAGGUUCUGAGUGGAUGGUCUAUGAAUGGACACAGAAGGGCGACCAACUAUAAUGGCGCUUGGUGAGGAAAUUGAUUUCAGGUUCAGUGCAAUUUGCUUUUGGUUUUCUUGUCAAUUUCACUAGAGUGGUGCCCCGUUAUGCGUGGGUGUAUUUUUAAUAAAAAAUAAUUUAGAAUUACAUAACAUCAUAAAUAAAAAUAAUAAUAGCAAAAAGAGGGUAAUUUUAAUUUCGAAAAAUUAUAAAUAAUAAUAAUAAUAAUAAUAAAUUAAAAAUAAUUAUUUUAAAAUAUCAAUAUUUUAAAAAUAUUUUCUUAUAUCUUAUCAAGCAAAUUUUUUUAUUUAAAUAAUUUUUAAUUGUUAAUUUUUAAAAACNUUUAAUAUAUGUUAUAUUAAUAUAAUCAUAUUUUGUUAAUUACGAUGAUUCUAAUAGAGAAAUUAAAUUAAAAUUAAGAAAAUUUAAUAUAUUGAAAGUCAUUAUUCAUAAACUACAUAAUUUAUAUAAGUAGCCAAAUAAAAAAAGCUACAUAAUUUAUAUAAUAAAAUUAUUAGAAUAAAAUGAAUAUUUUUUGGAAAGUCAAAAUAAAAUGAAUAUUAAUUACGCAUAUUAAAAUUUUCUUAAUUUUAAUGAUGAAAUUUUGUAAAUUAUCUUCAAUUUUAAUUACUACGUUUUUAUCUUAUACCUUUAUAAUUAUUUAGAAUUAAUCCACUAAAAAUAAUUUUGCGAUCCCCCAAUAAUUUUAGUAAGUCAUUAUUAACUUUAUUCAAUUAAUUAUUUUAUUUUUUAUUACUUAUCCAAAAAAUAAUUUCAUUGUUUUAUUCUUAUCUCUUUUUUAAAUUAAUUUUAUAAAUUUAAUUCAUACAUAAAAAAAUUACAUAAAUAAAAUAAAUUGAAUAAGCUUAAAACUAAACCAAUUUGGAUUUGGGUGAAUCCGACUCACCUCUUCCUUUUAUUUUUUCUUAUCCAUAAAACAACAAUAUAGAAGUAACGUUCUUUGCAUAUGUUUUAUUUAUAUGUUGUGCAACAUUACGCAAAUUAAGACCUACAAAUGAAAUAUUACUGCACCCUUGGAACCUGCAGCAUUUGCAGAAGUAGUGGUCCAAAUCUAUUUGGAUAAUAUCGAUGAUCUGGUAUAUACCAAAAUGCUCUAUCUUUUCAUCUAGAUUUAAACUUAAGUAUAAGUAAUUUCUUUCUUUCUUUUUCUAUAUUUAAUAUAGAAUAUAAUUAUUCUAUUUUUAUAAUUAACUCUAUCUAAUUAUCCAAAAACAGAAGUAAUGACAAGAGAGAGAGCCUUUCAUGAAAACUAUAAUAGUAAAUAAAAGAGGGAAUGGCAUAAUUAGAAAUAGAUGAGACCCCAAAGUUCAAUCUCUUCCAAUCUUUAUUGGUUAGCAAGCUUAACAUGAUUCUUCUCUUUUUAGACCAUUUCAAUUGUAAGCCCAUAUUCACCUAUCAUGAACUCUUACUCACUGAAUCUCCACUUUCUUAUGGUGACAUGGUCAAAUCCAGAAACAGCUUAAGAUCUUCUUUUUAUAUAGGUUAUAGAUUCCAUCUGCGAAACCCUAAAAUUUGCUUUUGGUUUUCUCAUCUAGCAAUUGUGUGGAAUUUGCUCUUUAUUGACCUUUGGAUAUGGAAGAUUAAUAAUAAAAAAAAAAGACAACUUGAGUCACUAGUCGUGUAUGGUAUCGUAAGAGAAGAUAUACGAGCAUGGAAAUUACAUCCAAAGCCUUGCUUCCCAUAGGUAUAUCCCCUUAAUUUACCAAACUAAAACAGCUGCUCCCUGUUUAAGUUUUUAAGGUGAAUGAAUUUAGAGAGAGAAAGCUUGUGAAAACGAUGAACCAGUUGAGAGAGGAAGAGCAUUUGCUCGGUAUCUUCACUUGUAUUUCAUUUCCUUCCCUUAUGAAAGGCAUAACCCGAGUACAUGAGAGAGACAAAGAUUCAUCAACAUUAAAGAAACAAAACAACCAAUGACGGAGGCGGACACGGCGACGCGCACCACACCACAACACGUGGAUAGUAUACAAAAGCCACAAAACGGCAACGCAGCAAAUGUUAAAAGGAAUAAAGCAUGAAAGCUAAACGGUGCCGCAUUAAUCUUCCCUAAAAUGGAUCACAUGGAACUCCACACGUGACUUCUUCUCCUUCACCAAUUCGAACCCAAUUUUGGCGCGAACCUGCAUAGCUAUCAGAGGGCACAAACAUCGUCGUUAAGACACAACUCAAUUUCAACACCCCCCUUUAAUCAAAUCACGACCAAUCUGCUUCCCUUUGAAAUGCUAUCAUGGCUGAUUCAAACACCAUGUCACACAAUAAGGCUCAAGAACAAUCCAAUAAUUACUGUUUUCAGAGACAUACUCUUCCUUUUUUAUAAGAUAAUUAAUUCCACUAUUUUCAUCAAUAUUAACUUCGAGUUUCUUAAUUAUUAAUCAUUAACCAGUUUUCGGAGACAUACCUUUAGCCAGUUUCUAAUGUAAUGUUGGCACUAUCAUCAGUUUUGAUACUUAAUAUCUUGAUUUUAAACUUCAAAGUAAGAUACUUUAAUUAUAAACACAGUUCACUGCCUCCAAAUAGAAAUCCACUUUAUUAUACAUCAAUAACUUUGUUUGUUUGUCCUAGAAACAAAGCCAGACAAAUAUUGCCACGUCCCCAGACUUGAGGCACAACAGACACCGCACACCUGCAAGAUAAACCCUACAAGCAUGCAAGGCUCAAAACAUAUAUCUUAACCAACUAACUAAACGGGUCAAAUAUAUUUAUGAAAUAGAAUAAUUCUCAAAUUUAUGGUACUGAGAUAAAAUCCUGAACAAACAAUUUAAGGUAACAAAAGGUUCAUAACAUUUAAACAAUUCUGAAGCGAACUAACACCAUAUACUAGCCUAUGAAAUGUCACUCCUUGAAGUUUUUCACGUGUUUGACCAAAUCACAACCUGAAAAAAAAAAAGUGAAGGAAGGAGUGAGUCAAAUAGCUCAGCAAGUGACUAACAUCCCUUCAGCUGGAUUAAGCUUGCACAGAACAUUUAGGCUAAGAACUUUUAUUCUCAUAUAAAUAUCAAAAACAAAAUUUUGGAUAAUCUAAUUCAAAUAACAAAACUAUCUAAAUUUCAAAAUUUUAAAUUAAUGGAUAAAUACGAUUUCACAAUUAUUGCAGAUUGUAAUUGACGUAGGAGCGUCAAGUAUUGUAUUUUAUUAAAUUUAGUUUUUGCUAAUUUAGUUGAUUUAGGAUUUAUUUUCUUUAUUUUAUUUAAAUUAGGAUUCUUUUUUUAUUUUUAUUUUAAUACUUUUAAGAAUUAGUAUUUGAUUAGGAUAGUCAUGUUCUAUUUAAGAAUAGAACACCUAUUUUAUUUAAAUUUCUUAUUAAUUAUUCUAAUUGUAUUAGACAACUAGGAGUAGAGUUUUAUUAGGAUUUGGGCCUAUAAUACUAUAAAUAGGACCCUUAGGCUUAGUUACGAGACAUUCAGAAUUGAGAGUUAAUAAAUAAUAUUUUCUUAAGUAUGAGUGCUUAUUUCUCUAGGCUCUUUUAAAGAGUAAGAGGUUUUAAUAUCUUUGGCCUAACCAACCAAAGUGGGAUUUAGGCUAUUUUUCACCUUAGUGGGGUUUUCAACCUUGCCAAGAUUGGUGAUUCACCUUAGUGGGGUUUUCAACCUCACCACGAUUGGUGUUUUUCAUAACGCCUAGGUGUCUUUACAACGCCCCGGCGUCAGUUUGGUAUCAGAGCGGGAGGAUUAUUAUUCGCUGUAUAAGUUCAGAUUCGUUGUCAAGUUUCGAUACUCCCUGUACGGGUAAUUUUAUUUCUUUAUAGUUUUAUCAUCAUUUUUUUUUUCUACAUCACCAUAGUAAAAUAAAAUGCCGCCAAGACGUCAAAAUCGUCAAAGAGAUGAUCACGAGAUUGAGAUUGCAGAACUACAUCAGCAAAUUCAAGAAUUACAAGAGCAACUCGUAAGACGUGAUGCUCAAAUAAACAAUAGCAACUCUAGUGAUGAAGAGAAUGAUACCAACCCGUUUCAUCAAAAUUUGUCCUAUGAUGAAGAAGUACCUAUUUGUCGCCUGAGAACUGCUGCUGCCAGAGAUUUGAGAAUCAAAGUCGAUAUUCUUGAGUUUGAAGGAAGACUUCAUCCUGAUGACUUCCUUGACUGGCUCUACACAGUAGAAAGAGUUUUUAAGCUUCAAGAUAUUCCCGAUGAAAAACGUGUGAAGCUUGUGGCAAUUAAAUUGAAGAAACACGGUUCUAUUUGGUGGAAAAAUCUCAAAAGACAACGAGAAAGAGAAGACCGCUACAAGAUCAGAACAUGGGAUAAGAUGCGUCGAGAACUAAAGCGUAAGUUCCUUCCUGAGCAUUAUUGACAAGAAAUUUUUAUCAAAUUUCAUAACUUGAGGCAAAAAACAAUGACGGUGGAAGAAUAUACAAUGGAGUUCGAGCAACUUCACAUGAAGUGCGAUGUCCAUGAGCCUAAAGAACAAACUGUAGCUCGUUAUCUUGGGGGUCUUAAUGUUGAAAUUACAGAUGUUGUUCAACUACAACCAUAUUGGAACCUAAAUGAUGUCAUCAGAUUAGCAUUAAAGGUUGAGAAACAACAAUUACGAAAAAGCUCAAUGAGUUCAUCUAGACAGAAAGAUUCCACUUCAAACCGUGGGAGACAGAGUUCGGCAACCAUUCCACCUCCAAAGGUAAACUCUUCCAAAACUCUAAAUCAUAAAGAGACUACUUCUACUCGUGCUCCUAAUGUCAACAAAAAGUGUUUCAAAUGCCAAGGAUUUGGGCAUAUUACUUCUGAUUGUCCAAAUCGAAGAAUUAUCUCUUUAGUUGAAGAAGAAGUCAUGGAAGAACCUAGCCUUGAAGAAGUAGAUGAUGAGCUAGAAAUAUUCAAUAACGAAGAGAUAGAAGAAGUCUCUGCUGACCAUGGAAAAGCUCUGGUUGUACGUCGUAACCUUAACACUGCUAUGAUGACAGAAGAUGAAAGUUGGCUCCGUCAUAAUAUAUUCCAUACAAGGUGCACAUCCCAAGGGAAGGUUUGUAAUGUCAUUAUUGAUAGUGGAAGCUGUGAAAAUGUUAUUGCCAACUACAUGGUAGAAAAGUUGAAACUUCCAACCGAAGUACAUCCUCAUCCUUACAAGCUACAAUGGCUGAGAAAAGGAAACGAAGUUAAGGUAACAAAGUGCUGUUGUGUUCAAUUCUUUAUUGGAAGUAAGUAUGAAGAUGAAGUCUGGUGUGAUGUUAUCCCAAUGGACGCAUGCCACUUGUUGUUAGGACGGCCAUGGCAAUAUGAUCGUCGAGCUCACUAUGAUGGAUACAAGAAUACUUAUUCCUUCAUCAAGGAUGGAGUAAAAAUUAUGCUGACUCCAUUAAAGCCAGAAGACCGACCAAAGAGACAAGAUGAAGAUAAAGCACUCAUCACUGUGCCUAGCUUAAGCAAAGCUUAUUGUGAGUUAAACCAUUUAUGUCUCUUAUUAGUCUCUAAGGAGAAUAAAGUGUCUUCAUCCUUAUCCAAUGAUGGUCAAACAAAAUUGAUCAACCAAAGUUCGGGAAACUUAUCGAGAAGCUUUGUGGACAAUCAUGCCGUUAACAAGACUACAGUUAAGUAUGAUUUUCCUAUCCCUCGAUUAGAUGACAUGUUCAUUGGCUCUAAAGUGUUUUUGAAGAUGGAUUUGAAGAAAAGAGAUCAACAAAUUCGAAUACGACUUGGAGAUGAAUGGAAAACAACUUUCAAAACAAUGGAUGAAUUUGAUCAAAUGGUUGGUAUGGACUAUGACAAUAUAUGGAUCCAGACAUCAACAUGGAGUAUGUCCAGACCUACUCGUCAGAGCCGAGUUUUUCUGACCCGAGGAGAAUGACGCAGGAGCGUCAAGGAUUGUAUUUUAUUAAAUUUAGUUUUUGCUAAUUUAGUUGAUUUAGGAUUUAUUUUCUUUAUUUUAUUUAAAAUAGGAUUCUUUUCUUAUUUUUAUUUUAAUACUUUUAAGAAUUAGUAUUUGAUUAGGAUAGUCAUGUUCUAUUUAAGAAUAGAACACCUAUUUUAUUUAAAUUUUUUAUUAAUUAUUCUAAUUGUAUUAGACAACUAGGACUAGAGUUUUAUUAGGAUUUGAGCCUAUAAUACUAUAAAUAGGACCCUUAGGCUUAGUUACGAGACAUUCAGAAUUGAGAGUUAAUAAAUAAUAUUUUCUUAAGUAGGAGUGCUUAUUUCUCUAGGCUCUUUUAAAGAGUAAGAGGUUUUAAUACCUUUGACCUAGCCAACCAAAGUGGGAUUUUGGCUAUUUUUCACCUUAGUGGGGUUUUCAACCUUGCCAAGAUUGGUGAUUCACCUUAGUGGGGUUUUCAACCUCACCACGAUUGGUGUUUUUCAUAACGCCUAGGUGUCUUUACAACGCCCCGGCGUCAGUAAUGGUCUCCCGUAACAUACUAUGACCAUAUUUAACCCCUAUGGCAUACGUCAUAAUCAUAACAGAAACCACAAUUAACCCUAGUGGCAUGAGUCAUAAAACCAUAAUUAACCCUAGUAGCAUGGAUCAUAAGUAUAUCAGAAGCAAUCAUUGGCUACUUUGAACAGAUAUCACAAGUACCACUAUUCUGUAACCGGUGGUGUGGUUGGGAAAUCGAUAUCUAAUCACAUAAUACAUGUCGACAUGGCCAACGUUUAACCCCCAUUGGCAAGAUCAUAACAUAGCCAAAGGAAGCUUUGACUCAUAUCCUUAUCAACCCAAAACAGUCCUCAUCUCUUCCAGCAAGAUGUUCCUUCUUCAUUCUUGAAGCUUCCAAUGCCAUUCUCUCAUUUUCCCAUGGAAGCUUAAUUUUCUUUCAUUUUCUUUCCUUGUUUUCUUUCCAUUUCCUUUCUCUUCUUGCUUCUUUCCUCUCCCAACUCCUUGUGCACCAAAGUUACAACUUCUAACCCCAAUUUUCAGCAUACCUAAACCCUAGGAGGAGAAAAAAGAAAAAGAGAGAAAGGAAGAAAAAAGCUUGGUUUUGGUGAUUUAAGUAAGGAACGGUAAGAAUUUUGUUUUUGGCUUGAGUAGUUUUUGAAAAUGAGUUAGUGACUUAAAGAAAUGUCUUGUGGCAACAAAGAUUGGCUUGAUUGGAGAAAAAUUGGUAACAUGUAAGCCAAUAAACCCAUGGGUACAUGAAGGACUCAAAGUGGAAAAGGAAAACGGUAAGCAUAACACUAUGUUUUAAAGCCUACGGUUAGUUAAAUAUUGUGAGGAAUUAUGGUUGUUGAAAGGAUUUAUUUGCCUAAGUUGGUUGAAAAUUUUCAAGAUUGUAUGGCAUGUUGUUUGAAAGAAAUGAAAAAGGAAUAUUGUGGAUGGAGGAUUGAGAAACAAAGUAUUGAAAGUUAGAUAGAUAACAAUGCAUGUAAACUAGGAAAUAAUUGAGUGAAAGUGAGAAUGAUUGUUGCUACCAUAUAUGUGGAUUAUGUGUGGAAAUAUAAGAUAGAUUUGGGUGGAAAUUAUUUAGAAAGGUUGAAGUAGACACGUGACAUCAUAAUUAAGUUGCUGGUGAUAUAAUCUAAGGAAUUUCGUAAGCAAUGAUAUAAGUAAUUUUGGUAAAAAUAUAUUAAGAUGUGAGUUAAUUGAAGAUGGUUUCAUGAUAGGAUGAAAAACAUAAAUUUGAGUAAGGAUUAAUUGAUUGAAGUGCUGCAUGUAUACAUAUGUAAUUAAAUAUAUUGAGUUUGUAUUAUUGUUAGGAUGUGCAAAGAUAAUGUUAGAGUACUGUGGUGGCGUGCUGGAGUAAAUAUCGAGCGAUCGGCCAGUGAAAAUAGUUAGAGACACCUCCGAUCAAAUAGCGAUAUAAUAUCCUGCUAUAGUAAAGUGAGUGAAUUGCAUUUCAAAAUCAUUUUGGGAAUGUGACUGCUUUGUAUAAAGCAUUUGAAUGAUUUUAUACAACUUUAUCUUAAAACAAGUGCCUUGAGAACAAGCUUUUGCUAAAUGGUUUUAUAUUGUGAUAUGUGGUUGUUAUUGAUUCAUGCACUAUUUCAUUAUGAUGAUAUAUAUAUAUAUAUAUAUGUUGUGCAUGAUAGUUGAUAUUGUGUAUAAUGACUAUAAUCGUGUGUGUGCACGAUGUGGGGGGAUGCACAGUCGGUGAUGAUGGUGGUGUGGGAGAUGGAUGAUGAUAGUGCUCGUGUGCACGAUAUGGGGGGAUGUACACGAUGAUACUGAUUGUGCACGAUGUGAGGGGAUGUAAAAAUAUUUUCUUAAAUCCUAUCAAGCAAAUUUUUUUAUUUAAAUAUUUUUUAUUUUUUAUUUUUUAAAAACAUUUAAUUUUUUAUACUUUAAUAUAUGUUAAUAUUAAUAUAAUCAUAUUUUGUUAAUUACGAUGAUUCUAAUAGAGAAAUUAAAUUAAAAUUAAGAAAAUUUAAUAUAUUGAAAGUCAUUAUUCAUAAGCUACAUAAUUUAUAUAAGUAGCCAAAUAAAAAAAGCUACAUAAUUUAUAUAAUAAAAUUAUUAAAAUAAAAAGAAUAUUUUUUGGAAAGUCAAAAUAAAAUGAAUAUUAAUUAUGGAAAUUAAAAUUUUCUUAAUUUUAAUAAUGAAAUUUUGUAAAUUAUCUUCAAUUUUAAUUACUACGUUUUUAUCUUAUGCCUUUAUAAUUAUUUAGAAUUAAUCCAUUAAAAAUAAUUUUGCGAUCCCUCAACAAUUUUAGUAAGUCAUUAUUAACUUUAUUCAAUUAAUUAUUUUAUUUUUUAUUACUUAUCCAAAAAAUAAUUUCAUUAUUUUAUUCUUCUCUCUUUUUUAAAUUAAUUUUAUAAAUUUAAUUCAUGCAUACAAAAAUUACAUAAAUAAAAUAAAUUGAAUAAGCUUCAACCUAAACCAAUUUGGAUUUGAGUGAAUCCGACUCAGCUCUUCCUUUUAUUUUUUCUUAUUCAUAAAACGACAAUACUAUUUUAAUUUAAAGAAAAACAUCAAUGAAGUAAUUCUUUGUGCAUAUGUUUUAUUUAUCUAUUGUGCAACGUUACGAAAAUUAAAACCCUAUAACGAAAUAUUACUGCACCUUUGGACCUUGCAACAUUUGCAGAUACAGUGGUUCAGAUCUAUUUGAAUAAUAUUGAUGAUUUGGUAUAUACCAAAAUGCUCUAUCUUUUCAUAUAGAUUUAAACUUAAGCAUAAGCAAUUUCUUUUUUUCUUUUUUUAUAUCUAAUAUAAAAUAUAAUUAUUCUAUUUUUAUAAUUAACUCUAUCUAAUUGUACAAAAACGGAAAAAAUGACGAGACAAAGAGGCUUUCUCUAAAAUUAUAAUAAUAAAAAAAUAAAAUAAUAUAAUUAUUCUAUUCCAUAUGUGAAAUUCCCUGGGAUUUGCUUUUGGUUUUCUCAUCUAACAAUUGUGUGGAAUUUGCUCUUUCUUGACCCUUGGAUGUGGAAGAUUAAUAAUAAAAAAAGACUACUUGAGUCGCUAGUCGUGUAUGGUACCGUAAGAGAGGAUAUACGAGCAUGGAAAUUACACCCAAAGCCCUGCUUCCCAUAGUAUGUCCCCUUAAUUUGCCAAGCCAAAACAGCCCCUCCCUGUUCAAGUUUUUAAGGUGAAUGAAUUUAGAGAGAGAAAGCUGGUGAAAACGAUGAACCAGUUGAGAAAGAAACUUCAUUUGUAUUUCAUUUCCUUCCCUUAUGAAAGGCAUGACCCGAGUACAUGAGAGAGACAAAGAUUCAUCAACAUUAAAGAAACAAAACAGCCAAUGACAACGGCGAACAUGGCGACGCGCACCACACCACAACACGUGGAUAGUAGACAAAAGCCACAAAACGGUAACGCAGCAAAUGUUAAAAGGAAUAAAGCAUGAUAGCUAAACGGUGCCGCAUUAAUCCCCCCUAAAAUGAAUCACGUGGAACUGCACACGUGACUUCUUCUCCUUCACCAAUUCGAACCCCCAUAGCUAUCAGAGGGCACAAACACUGUUGUUAAGACACAACUCAAUUUCAACACUCCCCUUUAAUCAAAUCACGACCAAUCUUCUUCUCUUUUAAUAACAACCAUAUUACGUUCAUGAUGUUGCAACUUUUGCGCCCAAAUGGUUGAAAUGCUAUCAUGGCUGAUUCAAACACCAUGUCACACAAUAAUGCCCAAGAACACACCAAUAAUCGCUGCUUUCAGAGACAUAAUCUUCCUUUUUUAUAAGAUAAUUAAUUCCACUGUUCUAAUCAAUAUUAACUUCGAGUUUCUUAAUUAUUAAUCUUUAGCCAGUUUUCGAAGACAUACCUGCAGCCAGUUUGUAAUGUAAUGUUGGCAAUAUCAUCAGUUUUGAUCCUUAAAAUCUUGGAUUUAAACUUCAAAGUAGGAUCCUUUAAUUAUAAACACAGUUCACUGCAUUCAAAUAGAAAUCCACUUUAUUAAACUUCAAUAACUUUGUUUGUUUGUCCCAGAAACAAGGCCAGACAAAGAUAAAAGUAGCCCAAGUUGUAACUUUGAGGCCUUAACAUUGACGGUAGAUACAAGUUCUACUCAUGAAGCAAACCCCAUAAACUGGAGCUCCAAAUUUCCCAGUUCUCCAAAAACGCUGAAUGCAAAGAUUAUUGCAUUCAUCUUGUGUGCAGCCUGGAUUCGGAAAUGAUUGCUCACACUCUCAGCUCUGUCCCAUCAUGUGCUGAUUGCCUGUAAUCGUAAAACACACGUCUGAUUAAUGAUUAACCUGCACACCAUUGAAAGGCUUAUUUCUUUACAGUUCUAUCCUACUUUUGUUUUUUAAUGCUAAAGGGCUGCAUAGAUUUAGUGAAUAAUGGAAACCUUACCAAAAGAAAGUAACAGAAGCAGUAAAACGGCAGAGAAGGAGAAGGAGAAGCUCUUCAUGGCUUCAAUUUGUUUUGUCUGUGGCAAUGCGUUGGUUCAAGACUGCAGGGACCAUAUGGUAUCUGCUAUUUAGAAGAAGUUGAGUAUGUAAGAUCCAUUGCUUGGAAUUCUAAAUUCUUGUUACUUUUGACAUAAAAGGAAAGAUAUAUGUUGGAUCAAGGUUGUUUUCUUCCAUUAUAACCAACAAAAAUAGUUGUAAAAUUCAUCAUACAUGGAAGUUCAAUUAUUGUGUUUACUCAUACAUGGUCAGACACCUAAUUUCCAAUUAGAAAAAUUAUAACAACUUGUGUCGAGCAUAAGACAGUAGAUUACAAAGAUUCACAAUGACAUGACAACUAAAGCAGACAAAACAAUGUCCAAUGAUCAGGAAGCAAAUAUGGGUCUUAUGUUUCUUAUAACAGAUAUGGUAGAGUGCAUCACCAAAUGCAAAAAUGCCUCUGAUAGAAGACAUGAACUCACUAGAACUGCCAUCAGUAGCACAAUUUUUUUCAUAUUAAAAAUAAAUGUUCAUAGACCUGAAGCUUUCAAAUUGCAUAACAAGAUGGAUUUUGAAAAAAUAAUAAAUGAAUGAGCAAAGGAAUAGAACUUCCAAACAAUGAUUUGGAAGUUCAACUUCAUGCCAGAAAAACAGAGCCAAUUGCAAUUUUACUAAACAAAUAGAACUUCAGCAACCUCGCACUUUCCUGGUCUUUUUAACCUUUUCUUGUUUUCUUUAUUCUAAAAAAAAGAAAUACAGAAAAACCUAUUAAGAUUAGGGCAUUCUUUGUGGAAGAUAAAAACAUAUAAACAUAUUGAUUAAGUUAAAGCUGUUACUGAUAGACUAGCCAAUUAAGGAAUAUCACACAAUAAAAGUUCAAAAUGAUGCAAACACAUACACACACUUUCUCUAUCAUUUUUCUAUUGCUCUCAAAUGAUAGAGAUGAGUUGCUUUUUAUGCAUGCCAGCCAACUUAUCAGGAUACUAUACAUCUCGAUUGAAUAAUAAACUCAUCCCUUUCUGAAUAAACUUAAUUUCAUUAGGGAGACUUUUCAACUCUGGCAUAAUACAUCCACAGUUUAUUUAAAGUGCUUCAAUAAAUCAGGAAAAAGAGGAAUAAAAGAAUUAAGCAACUGAGCUAUUACACUGAAAAGAAAUUGGGAAAAUAAACUCAAUUGAAAGGCCUCAAUAAUGUUCAUGAAAGAAAUUUUAAAAUAAAAUAAAUAUGGUAAACAAAGAGAUACAUUAUAGACAAAACUCAAAAGUUUAGAAAAUGAAAGGAAUGAGUAACAAAUGUUACUAUGUAGAGUGCAGAUGGGAUACCUGAGCCAAAUGAACUUUCUGAGACAUUGAGUUUAGGCGAUAAUGACUUCACCAUCAAUUUUUAUCGAUGGGAUGUGGGAAAUCUUGGCCCAAUCUUUACCUUUCUCCUUUUGGCAACGUUCUGUCAGCAAUGGACACAAGCGAAUGCUUAGAGAAGAAAGGCAGACAGGGAGCCCCUCUGGUGGCAUGGAUUGGAGCUUUGCGCAGUUAGCGACUUCCAAUCGCCGAAUAGAGGUAAGGUGUUGAAGACCUUUGUAGUCCAAAGUUUUGAGAUUUGGAAGACCAUAAAUGUGAAGAUUGGUAAUAGUAGGUGGCAGCAGCUGCUCAUCUGGAAAGAACUCCAUAUCUCCUCCAUUCAUUUUGAAAUAUGUGAGACAGCGGAGUUUGUGCAAUCCCCAUCCCAUUCGACCAGCAAUAAGUUUAUUACAAUUAUCAAUUUCAAGAUAUUCUAAGUUGAAUGGCAAGCCCCCUUCUGGAAAUGACUCAAUCUCUGAACAAUUCGCUACAAUCAAAUAGUGGAGGGAUGGGAGAAGGGAGUGCAUUUGCUCGGGGAGUGACUUUAAAUUUUUGCAAUUGAAGAGAUAAAGCAUUGUCAAAUUAGGGGCAGAUAAUCCUCCUUUGGGAAACGAUACAAAAUUAGGACAGUCGAACAUAUUUAUAGAAUGGAGAGAUGCGAGAUGCUGGUGAGGUUCCUCUAAUGCAGAAAACGACUUGAUGUUUGUACAAUGCACGAAGUUCAAGGUAUUUAGGUUAGGAAAAGAGCCUAAUGGGAAUGAUUCUAGUGAAUCAAGGGCAUUCCACACGUUCAAUUCUUCUAGAGAUGUGUACAAGAGGAUUCUAGAAAAAUCAAACUCACCGCAGUUUUCAAUCUCCAACUUCUUUAAGGAAACAGGUAGACGACCUUCAGGAAGGGACUUAAGAGCAGCACAACUUCCAAUAGACAAUCCUUCAAGACGAGAGCAGUGCUGCCGCAUCAGCUCCAGUGUGGAAUCUUGGACACUGCAAUUUUUAAUUGUUAAAUUUUGCAGCUCUGUUGGUAGUUCCUGCAGCUGCAUUUUAUCACAAUUCACUAAUUCCAGUUCACGCAUGUCAGGAGCCCUCGAGAGAGAACUACCAAGCAUCUCACAAUUUUCAAUCCUAAAUUUCCUUAGAAGAGGAAGUGUUUUAGGCAGAUCUCCCUUCAGCUUGGGACAAUCUAUUAUGUAUAGUUCUUGGAGACUAGAGAAAGUUCCAUUUUCAUCUCCCAAACACAACCAUUCUUGCCACUCCGGCAUCUUCUCAAACCUCAGUAUUUCAAGUGAUUCAAAGGACUUCAUACUAGAACCAUUCCCAUAGAACUCAGAACCUACAGCACUUACUCGAGCAAAUCCUCUGAUAGACAGGUUCUUCAAAGACCGUAGAUGUCCAAGUGCUGGCAAGGACAAGCAAUGCUCACAAUUGCUUAACUCCAAGCAUGCGAUUCUUGAAAAGGAAUGAUCUCCCACCCAUUCUGGAAAUUGUGUACCUCCAUAACCGAAAACUUUGAGGUGUUCCAGAUCUGGAGAAGGCUGUAGCUGCUCAAGUACAUUUCUUUCAUGUUCUAAAUCUCUCUGAGGCACAAAGUUGGGUACAUCUGCCUUUUCAUCGCUCCAAC
rnacentral:lncRNA from 1 species